rnacentral:rRNA from 1 species
AGCGGCGGACGGGUGAGUAACACGCGGGCAACCUGCCUCAUAGAGGGGAAUAGCCUUCCGAAAGGGAGAUUAAUACCGCAUAAGAUUGUAGUACCGCAUGGUACAGCAAUUAAAGGAGCAAUCCGCUAUGAGAUGGGCCCGCGGCGCAUUAGCUAGUUGGUGAGGUAACGGCUCACCAAGGCGACGAUGCGUAGCCGACCUGAGAGGGUGAUCGGCCACAUUGGGACUGAGACACGGCCCAGACUCCUACGGGAGGCAGCAGUGGGGAAUAUUGCACAAUGGGGGAAACCCUGAUGCAGCAACGCCGCGUGAGUGAUGACGGCCUUCGGGUUGUAAAGCUCUGUCUUCAGGGACGAUAAUGACGGUACCCGAGGAGGAAGCCACGGCUAACUACGUGCCAGCAGCCGCGGUAAUACGUAGGUGGCGAGCGUUGUCCGGAUUUACUGGGCGUAAAGGGAGCGUAGGCGGAUUUUUAAGUGAGAUGUGAAAUACUCGGGCUUAACCUGAGUGCUGCAUUUCAAACUGGAAGUCUAGAGUGCAGGAGAGGAGAAGGGAAUUCCUAGUGUAGCGGUGAAAUGCGUAGAGAUUAGGAAGAACACCAGUGGCGAAGGCGCUUCUCUGGACUGUAACUGACGCUGAGGCUCGAAAGCAUGGGUAGCGAACAGGAUUAGAUACCCUGGUAGUCCAUGCCGUAAACGAUGAGUGCUAAGUGU